rnacentral:rRNA from 1 species
AACGAACGCUGGCAGCAGGCUUAACACAUGCAAGUCGAACGCCCCGCAAGGGGAGUGGCAGACGGGUGAGUAACGCGUGGGAACAUACCCUUUCCUGCGGAAUAGCUCUGGGAAACUGGAAUUAAUACCGCAUACGCCCUACGGGGGAAAGAUUUAUCGGGGAAGGAUUGGCCCGCGUUGGAUUAGCUAGUUGGUGGGGUAAAGGCCUACCAAGGCGACGAUCCAUAGCUGGUCUGAGAGGAUGAUCAGCCACAUUGGGACUGAGACGCGGCCCAAACUCCUACGGGAGGCAGCAGUGGGGAAUAUUGGACAAUGGGCGCAAGCCUGAUCCAGCCAUGCCGCGUGAGUGAUGAAGGCCUUAGGGUUGUAAAGCUCUUUCACCGAUGAAGAUAAUGACGGUAGUCGGAGAAGAAGCCCCGGCUAACUUCGUGCCAGCCGCCGCCGUAAAAC